CCUACGGGGGGCAGCAGUGGGGAAUAUUGGACAAUGGGCGAAAGCCUGAUCCAGCCAUGCCGCGUGUGUGAAGAAGGCCUUCGGGUUGUAAAGCACUUUCAGUGGGGAAGAAAGCCUUGGGGCUAAUGCCCUCGAGGAAGGACAUCACCCACAGAAGAAGCACCGGCUAACUCCGUGCCAGCAGCCGCGGUAAUACGGAGGGUGCGAGCGUUAAUCGGAAUUACUGGGCGUAAAGCGCGCGUAGGCGGUCUGAUAAGCCGGUUGUGAAAGCCCCGGGCUCAACCUGGGAACGGCAUCCGGAACUGUCAGGCUAGAGUGCAGGAGAGGAAGGUAGAAUUCCCGGUGUAGCGGUGAAAUGCGUAGAGAUCGGGAGGAAUACCAGUGGCGAAGGCGGCCUUCUGGACUGACACUGACGCUGAGGUGCGAAAGCGUGGGUAGCAAACAGGAUUAGAUACCCUAGUAGUC
rnacentral:rRNA from 1 species